rnacentral:rRNA from 1 species
UACGAGUGCCCCAAGCGUUGUCCGGAAUCACUGGGCGUAAAGGGUUCGUAGGCGGUUGUGUUAGUCUUCUGUAAAAGGCCGGGGCCCAACCUCGGUUUCGCAGGAGAAACGGCACAACUUGAGAACACAAGAGGUACAUGGAACUCACGGUGUAGGGGUGAAAUCCGUUGAUAUCGUGGGGAACACCAAAGGCGAAGGCAGUGUACUGGUGUGUUUCUGACGCUGAUGAACGAAAGCCAGGGUAGCGAAUGGG